GAGAGAUGGCUCAGUGGUUAAGAGCACUGACUGCUCUUCCAGAGGUCCUGAGUUCAAUUCCCAGCAACUACA
rnacentral:tRNA from 1 species